UGGGCUGUGGGAGCUCCCAGCUCUCUGCUCAGACAGGGCUGAGGUCUCUGGGAAGGCAGGUGUGGUCUAGAAGAUGAGGCUGCUGGGUCUUGUCCUGUGCCUGGUCACAGCUCCCCAAGGUGUCCUGUGCCAGGUGCAGCUGCAGGAGUCAGGACCUGGCCUGGUGAAGCCAUCGCAGACCCUGUCUCUGACCUGUGCUGUCUCUGGUAACUCCAUCACCAGUGGUUACAACUACUGGAGCUGGAUCCGUCAGUCCCCAGGGAAGGGGCUGGAGUGGAUAAGGUACAUAAGUUAUGAUGGUAGCACUAACUACAGCCCAUCCCUCAAGAGCCGAGUGUCCAUCUCCAGAGACACGUCCAAGAACCAGUUCUCCCUGCAGCUGAGCUCCCUGACCACAGAGGACAUGGCCACCUAUUACUGUGCCAGAGACACAGUGAGGGGACCUCAGUGUUGUGAAAAGGUGGUGGGUGUGGUGAAGGACUUCCCAGAUAUGAAGCAUCUGGACGUUUCUCUCAUGUGGACUCUGCUGCUGGAUGAAGUGGGAUCUAUCUGGAGUGUGAAAGGCUGGACUGAUGGUGAGCAGCUGCCCACGUGCUCUCCAUUCCUGGUGCCUUUACCCUGUGAGAGGCCCCUGCACUCUCAGUGCUCCCUGGAGGCUGCCCUCUGGUAA